rnacentral:tRNA from 1 species
GGCAGGGUAGCUCAAUGGCAGAGCAGCGGACUCAUAAGCCGUUUGUUGAGAGUUCGACUCUCUCCCCUGACACCA